rnacentral:rRNA from 1 species
CCUACGGGUGGCAGCAGUGAGGAAUAUUGGUCAAUGGGCGAGAGCCUGAACCAGCCAAGUCGCGUGAGGGAGUACUGCCCUAUGGGUUGUAACCUUCUUUGUCGGGGAGCUAAAGCCGGACGUGUCCGGCUGUGAGAGUACCCGAAGAAAAAGAAUCGUCUAACUCCGUGCCAGCAGCCGCGGUAAUACGGAGGAAGCGAGCGUUAUCCGGAUUUAUUGGGUUUGAAGGGUGCGCAGGAGGAUUUUUAAGUCAGAGGUCAAAUCGUGGGGCUCAACCCCAUCCAGCCGUUGACACUGGGUAUCUAGAGUGUGCGAGAGGUAUGCGGAAUGCGUGGUGUAGCGGUGAAAUGCAUAGAUAUCACGCAGAACCCCGAUUGCGAAGGCAGCAUACUGGUGCACAACUGACGCUCAGGCACGAAAGCGUGGGUAUCGAACAGGAUUAGAUACCCGUGUAGUC